GUUCCUGUAGUGUAGUGGUUAUCACGUUUGCUUCACACGCAAAAGGUCUCUGGUUCGAAACCAAACAGAAACA
rnacentral:tRNA from 1 species